rnacentral:snRNA from 1 species
AUCGCUUCUCGGCCUUUUGGCUAAGAUCAAAUGUAGUAUCUGUUCUUAUCAGAAAUUGUAUGGUGUAGAACAAAAAUGUAUGGUCUUAUUCAUGUGUUUAAUCUAU